rnacentral:rRNA from 1 species
UACAGAGGGUGCAAGCGUUGUUCGGAAUCAUUGGGCGUAAAGCGCGUGUAGGCGGUCCGGUAAGUCCGCUGUGAAAGUCGGGGGCUCAACCCUCGAAUGCCGGUGGAUACUGUCGGGCUAGAGUGCGGAAGAGGCGAGUGGAAUUCCUGGUGUAGCGGUGAAAUGCGCAGAGAUCGGGAGGAACACCCGUAGCGAAGGCGGCACUCUGGGCCGGUACUGACGCUGAGGAGCGAAAGCGUGGGGGAGCGAACAGG